rnacentral:rRNA from 1 species
AGAGUUUGAUCAUGGCUCAGGAUGAACGCUAGCGGCAGGCUUAACACAUGCAAGUCGAGGGGCAUCGCGGUGUAGCAAUACACUGGCGGCGACCGGCGGAAGGGUGCGUAACGCGUGAGCAACAUGCCCGUGGCAGGGGGAUAAUCGAUGGAAACGUCGUCUAAGACCCCGUAACAACUGGGAGCGCAUGUUCCUGGUUUGAAAGCUUCGGCGGCCACGGAUUGGCUCGCGUCCCAUUAGGUAGUCGGCGGGGUAACGGCCCACCGAGCCGACGAUGGGUAGGGGUUCUGAGAGGAAGGUCCCCCACAAUGGAACUGAGACACGGUCCAUACUCCUACGGGAGGCAGCAGUGAGGAAUAUUGGUCAAUGGGCGGAAGCCUGAACCAGCCAUGCCGCGUGCAGGAAUAAGGCCCUACGGGUCGUAAACUGCUUUUGUGCGGGAGCAAUAAGGUGGUCGUGACCAUCGAUGAGAGUACCGUACGAAUAAGCAUCGGCUAACUCCGUGCCAGCAGCCGCGGUAAUACGGAGGAUGCGAGCGUUAUCCGGAUUCAUUGGGUUUAAAGGGUGCGUAGGCGGCGUGCCAAGUCAGGGGUGAAAGGUUCCGGCUCAACCGGGACAGUGCCCUUGAUACUGGUGUGCUGGAGUGCGCUUGCCGUGGGAGGAAUGAGUGGUGUAGCGGUGAAAUGCUUAGAUAUCACUCAGAACACCGAUUGCGAAGGCAUCUCACGAAGGCCUAACUGACGCUGAGGCACGAAAGCGUGGGGAUCAAACAGGAUUAGAUACCCUGGUAGUCCACGCCGUAAACGAUGAUGACUAACCGCCGGCGACAGACCGUCGGUGGCCAAGCGAAAGCGAUAAGUCAUCCACCUGGGGAGUACGACCGCAAGGUUGAAACUCAAAGGAAUUGACGGGGGCCCGCACAAGCGGAGGAACAUGUGGUUUAAUUCGAUGAUACGCGAGGAACCUUACCCGGGCUCGAACGGCUGGUGAAGAGAUCCAGAGAUGGUGACGUCCUUCGGGACACCAGUCGAGGUGCUGCAUGGUUGUCGUCAGCUCGUGCCGUGAGGUGUCGGCUCAAGUGCCAUAACGAGCGCAACCCCUGCCUCCAGUUACCAUCACGUAAUGGUGGGGACUCUGGAGGGACUGCCACCGCAAGGUGUGAGGAAGGGGAGGAUGACGUCAAAUCAGCACGGCCCUUACGUCCGGGGCGACACACGUGUUACAAUGGCGGCCACAGAGGGAAGCUACCCUGCGAGGGGAUGCGGAUCUCGAAAAGCCGUCUCAGUUCGGAUCGGAGUCUGCAACCCGACUCCGUGAAGCUGGAUUCGCUAGUAAUCGCGCAUCAGCCAUGGCGCGGUGAAUACGUUCCCGGGCCUUGUACACACCGCCCGUCAAGCCAUGGAAGCCGGGGGCGCCUGAAGUUCGUGACCGCGAGGAGCGACCUAGGGCGAAACUGGUAACUGGGGCUAAGUCGUAACAAGGUAGCCGUACCGGAAGGUGUGGCUGGAACACCUCCUU